rnacentral:rRNA from 1 species
GAUGAACGCUGGCGGCGUGCCUAAUACAUGCAAGUCGAGCGAACGGACGAGAAGCUUGCUUCUCUGAUGUUAGCGGCGGACGGGUGAGUAACACGUGGAUAACCUACCUAUAAGACUGGGAUAACUUCGGGAAACCGUAGCUAAUACCGGAGAAUAUUUUGAACCGCAUGGUUCACAAGUGAAAGACGGUCUUGCUGUCACUUAUAGAUGGAUCCGCGCUGCAUUAGCUAGUUGGUAAGGUAACGGCUUACCAAGGCAACGAUGCAUAGCCGACCUGAGAGGGUGAUCGGCCACACUGGAACUGAGACACGGUCCAGACUCCUACGGGAGGCAGCAGUAGGGAAUUUUCCGCAAUGGGCGAAAGCCUGACGGAGCAACGCCGCGUGAGUGAUGAAGGUCUUCGGAUCGUAAAACUCUGUUAUUAGGGAAGAACAUAUGUGUAAGUAACUGUGCACAUCUUGACGGUACCUAAUCAGAAAGCCACGGCUAACUACGUG